CUCCAGACUCCUACGGGAGGCAGCAGUGAGGAAUAUUGGUCAAUGGGCUAAGGCCUGAACCAGCCAAGUCGCGUGAGGGAAGACGGUCCUAUGGAUUGUAAACCUCUUUUGUCGGGGAGCAACGAGGCCACGUGUGGCCGAAGUGAGAGUACCCGAAGAAAAAGCAUCGGCUAACUCCGUGCCAGCAGCCGCGGUAAUACGGAGGAUGCGAGCGUUAUCCGGAUUUAUUGGGUUUAAAGGGUGCGCAGGCGGAGGUGCAAGUCAGCGGUCAAAUUGCGGGGCUCAACCCCGUACUGCCGUUGAAACUGCAUCCCUUGAGUGCGCGAGAAGUAUGCGGAAUGCGUGGUGUAGCGGUGAAAUGCAUAGAUAUCACGAAGAACUCCGAUUGCGAAGGCAGCUCACUGGACUGCAACUGACACUGAGGCUCGAAAGUGUGGGUAUCAAACAGGAUUAGAUACCCCUGUA
rnacentral:rRNA from 1 species